rnacentral:rRNA from 1 species
UACGUAGGGGGCGAGCGUUGUCCGGAUUUAUUGGGCGUAAAGAGCGUGUAGGCGGCCAGGUAGGUCCGUUGUGAAAACUCGAGGCUCAACCUCGAGACGCCGGUGGAAACCAUCUAGCUAGAGUCCGGAAGAGGAGAGUGGAAUUCCUGGUGUAGCGGUGAAAUGCGCAGAUAUCAGGAAGAACACCCGUGGCGAAGGCGGCUCUCUGGGACGUGACUGACGCUGAGACGCGAAAGCGUGGGGAGCGAACAGG